AUAUGUGGUAGAAAGAAAGAUAGGAGGCCGAGUAUUGAGCGAUUUGUAAAAGGACAGGAAUAUGUUGGAGGAUUCCAGUAAAAAUUGGAUUUUCUGAGGUUUAAAUGGCAAUCACGAUUAGGGUCUAUGGACCAUUUAGGUUUGUUAACGUGGUAUUAUAACUGUUCAGCGAGACCAGUGAAAAUUAGGUCAGGCGGCCUUGCAGGAUGGAGUGCAUUUAUAUAUAAAGGGGCUCUGAAUUUGAUUACUUUUUAAAAUGUUCAUGAGUGCAUCGCUGCGUCUUUCUAUUCGGUAAAGUCACCUUGAAAGACUUCCGCAUUUGUUUUUUAUUCUUUUAUGCAUUGAGUGACUAUGCAUUUUAACUGAUGAUUGGAAGAAAGUUUUGUGGGCAUUGCCAUUGAAUAGAAGAAGCCUUCGGAUUUCCCGAUGUCUUCGUAUCAGGUGUUCGGGUAUUUUUUUGGAGUUGAGAGGUCUGAUAAAUUUUGGUGUGCAUGGUAUCCUGGAGGAGAGGUUUUCGAGAGGAUCUUGUGGUGGAAAAGCGAUUUGCUUUUGGUGGUAGAAUUAGUGUUGUAGAGUCGGCGAUUUCUGACCUUCAACAUCGUCGUGAAUAUUUUAAGUGCAAUAUCUUAGGAGUUAAAAACUACAUGAGUUUGUAUGUCAACUUUUUCGUAGAAAGAGGGAGAGAUGAGAAUAACAAAGACAACGAUUGGAUGUUGUUUACUGGAAUAUCAAGAGCCAAUAUGGUCCCUCAGGCAAAACGUUUCAAAGAAUAAAAAUGACAUAUGAAGAGAAGUCAGUAGAUGAAGAUGAAGAGAAAGCUAUUUUAGAUUUGCUGUGUCGUAUAAGUAUAUAUUAUUAUGCGAAAAUUUCCUUAGUUCGCAGGUAAAAAUCAUAAGGUGGCAAGUUCAAAUUCUAGUUAGAUAUCAGCUUAGUUGUUCUAAGAUUUCCACAAUAAUCUAAAGUCCUGAUAGGGAGUCUGAAGGUAAUUUAUUUUACAAGAGAACAUCUUUGUGAUGAUAGAACUAUCGAAGUGAAUCUAGACUUGGUUAAACAUUUUAACUGAAAAUGUUAAUGCGAAGAUUUCACAUAUUUUGGUGGAAACUAAUGUCAAUUUCACUUUAAAUGACAACAUAAUUUCUGUCCUUCUAGGGUAUGUUUGGUGGUUAAGAAGUCAAUAUGGAGUCUCUGGGUUUUGAAUAAAAUCAAGACCUUGGUUUGGUCUACCAUCAGAAUAUCCUACCAAAGAAAAACAUUGUCAAGAAAGUUAUCAAGGUCAAUGGAACUUUCUCUUUGCACUGUUAUAAUAACAAUGACAAACUUAAUUUUUUCACCUCUAUGAGAUGACUUAACUUGAAUGGCAUGAUGCUGCAUUUUGGCUUGUGGGAUUGUUACUUGACGGUGACGUGUAGUCCUUCAUGUUAGCUCUUUCAGUGAUAAAUUUUCAUUAAUGGAUUGGGUAUUUUGCUACUCAUGUUGUUAUGCAAGGCAUAACAGACCUCUAAAUGAAAUCGACACACCUCAUAGGGAUUUGCAGACUUAUCAUUUGUCAUAUUGCUAGUUCUUGUUCAAAAGGAGCUGCUUGUUAGUUGUCAGAUAGACUUGUUUUUAUGACAUGGUCUUAUGUUUUGCCCUUGUUGUAUUCUUUGUUUAUCCUAUCUGUGGCAAAUCCUUCUCCACCUUGUCACCUUACUAUGGUAAAUGUAGUUCAUUCUCAUUGUGUUUCUUCUUGUCCUGCUACUUUCCUUUUGAAUGUAUAUGUUUGUUCUUCUCAAAUAAAUGUUGUGACAGCCCCUGCCAAUCUGGGUUCCCCCAUCGCGCAAUAAAAAAAAUAGUGUUAAUGAAGUAGAAUCUCUCAAUUAUAUAAAUACUGUAUCAUUUUAAGUAUUGACUGUGCUGAACGAGAAUCCUUGUAUUUUUCUCUCACCUAAUGUGCUAUAAAGUAAUUGUCCAGGAGAUCUAGGUUCCACAAAAGCAUAAAGACGUGUUAAUGAGUCACCUCUGAAGGCACAGAUAUGGAGGAGCAUUCUGUUUCUUACAAUUAACAGGCCAAGAAAGCCUCCUCCAGACUUGCAACCACACUAGGUCCUCCCUAUUGUCGUGUUGACAGUUCUUAGGCUUAGAUCAUUCUAAGUACUAUGUCCCUACGUAUAUGAAGAUAUGAAGCUCAUUUUUAACCAUGAUAAACUUUUUACGAAAACUAAUCAUUCCUUUUUUAAUGUUUAGCUGGUGCCAGCUGUCACAGAGCUUGUGAUUGCAGAAAUGCUUUACCUGCAAUGGAUGGAUCCAAAGCAACCAAUUUAUCCUUAUAUCAAUUCAACUGGAACGACAUGUGAUGAUGGGGAAACUGUAUACAAUUUUGGUUUCUUUGUUCUUCUCUUUGUUUACUUUUUACAUAACGUUUAACAUGUCCAUAAGUUGGUUCCAUUUGGUUGUGUUCUAAAAUUGAGCUGAAUGACUUGUGCACUUUAA